GACGAACGCUGGCGGCGUGCUUAACACAUGCAAGUCGAACGAUGAAGCUGGAGCUUGCUCCGGUAGAUUAGUGGCGAACGGGUGAGUAACACGUGAGCAAUCUGCCCUUGACUCUGGGAUAACUGCGGGAAACUGUAGCUAAUACCGGAUACUUUCACUGGAAGGCAUCUUCUGGUGAAGAAAGAAUUUCGGUCAAGGAUGAGCUCGCGGCCUAUCAGCUUGUUGGUGAGGUAACGGCUCACCAAGGCGACGACGGGUAGCCGGCCUGAGAGGGUGGCCGGCCACACUGGGACUGAGACACGGCCCAGACUCCUACGGGAGGCAGCAGUGGGGAAUAUUGCACAAUGGGCGCAAGCCUGAUGCAGCAACGCCGCGUGAGGGAUGAAGGCCUUCGGGUUGUAAACCUCUUUUAGCAGGGAAGAAGCGAAAGUGACGGUACCUGCAGAAAAAGCACCGGCUAACUACGUGCCAGCCGCCGCAGUAA
rnacentral:rRNA from 1 species